rnacentral:rRNA from 1 species
UACGUAGGGGGCGAGCGUUGUCCGGAAUCAUUGGGCGUAAAGAGCGUGUAGGCGGUUUGGUAGGUCUCGCGUUAAAGUCCCGCCAGCUCAACUGCGGACGUGCGCGGGAAACCACCUCACUAGAGUCCGGGAAGAGGAGAGUGGAAUUCCAGGUGUAGCGGUAGAAAUACGUAGAGAUUGGGAAGAACACCAGUGGCGAAGGCGGCUAUCUGGACGGUUUCUGACGCUGAGACGACGAAAGCGUGGGGAGCGAACAGG